GAAAUGCGAUAAUUAAUGUGAAUUGCAGAAUUCAGUGAAUCAUCGAGUCUUUGAACGCACAUUGCGCCCCCUGGUAUUCCGGGGGGCAUGCCUGUCCGAGCGUCAUUGCUGCCCUCAAGCACGGCUUGUGUGUUGGGCUUCCGUCCCUGGCAACGGGGACGGGCCCAAAAGGCAGUGGCGGCACCAUGUCUGGUCCUCGAGCGUAUGGGGCUUUGUCACCCGCUCCCGUAGGUCCAGCUGGCAGCUAGCCUCGCAACCAAUCUUUUUAACCAGGUUGACCUCGAAUCAGGUAGGGAUACCCGCUUAACUUACGC
rnacentral:misc_RNA from 1 species